rnacentral:rRNA from 1 species
CCUACGGGUGGCAGCAGUGAGGAAUAUUGGUCAAUGGGCGCGAGCCUGAACCAGCCAAGCAGCGUGAAGGAUGACUGCCCUACGGGUUGUAAACUUCUUUUAUAAAGGAAUAAAGUGAGGCACGUGUGCCUUUUUGUAUGUACUUUAUGCAUAAGGAUCGGCUAACUCCGUGCCAGCAGCCGCGGUAAUACGGAGGAUCCGAGCGUUAUCCGGAUUUAUUGGGUUUAAAGGGAGCGUAGAUGGGUUGUUAAGUCAGUUGUGAAAGUUUGCGGCUCAACCGUAAAAUUGCAAUUGAUACUGGCAGUCUUGAGUACAGUUGAGGUAGGCGGAAUUCGUGGUGUAGCGGUGAAAGGCGUAGAUAUCACGAGGAACUCCGAUGGCGAAGGCAGCUUACUGGACUGCCACUGACGUUGAGGCUCGAAAGUGUGGGGAGCAAACAGGAGUAGAUACCCGAGUAGUC